UGGAGAUAAAAACUGGUCCCUUGACGUUCAUUAGCUCUGCAAGCUUCUUAGCACCACCCCAGGAUUAACAAUCGCGGAAAUUAAAGAACGAACAUCACGUCCUUUCAGAUUGUGUUUCAAGUCAUCUUAUGUUUAGUCUUCACAUUAUCAUGUAAUCUAAUUCUAAUUAGAUAAUUGAAAUUUCUUGACUGCCUAUCAAUUUUCUGUCAUAAUCUCGGAGGUGGAUCAUGCGUGAGAAAUAAGAACCUAAUAAUGAAUAUCAUCAUAUACAAAGAAGUUUGGUAACAACGCUAGUUUCUAAAAAGUCAAGACGCAAUCCGGCAUGACCACUAAGGGAAAAUUAUACCCGGUCCGCGUGUGGCCAAUUCUGCUCUGUGGAGGAUAUGAACUUGAUCCAAGCCACGGGGCAGUUCAGCCCCAUCCACUUCCUAGCAGUUAUGAUUGGUUUCAUUUCGAUUCGGGCGGUCACUGGUUCACGAUUUUGGAGGAGAAAAACUGAACCCAGCCCUUGCUAUUCCCGAGGCCCUUGAACCGUUGACCAAUCACAGGCCCAACUCCAACCGAGGCCGAAUUAAUUAUGCCCGAAGAUUGCAUUUAUAUACACAACUGGCAGGUUAGACGGUUAGUACCAAUGGUACUCCCCACUAGCAUGCUAACGGCUACAGUUCCACAAAAAUCACAGAAGCGCCACUCUAAUCCAAAAUUUGGCAAUUGUAAGGGACUCUGCAGUUCAAUACUCUGAUCCAGCAGCUCAGAUCUCUGCACCUUCUCAUUUUUCACAUCUACUUGAAACAAAAUUACGGGGGAGUAGUUGACGAGAGCCCAAUGCUAGACAACAUUCAAUGAACAACUCUACAUCUACGUUAGCAAUGUUCAAAAACCAAAGAUACAUUUAGUGAAUUCACAAUGAAAACAUGGUGCCAAAAGGAAGGUUAAAUUUUUACAGUCUUCCAGAAUAAAGGGGCGGGAAAUGAAGCUGAUUGAAUGUGAUCUUAUCGUUCUGCUCUGCGGUUUGGAUAUUUCAUCUUUUCCCACAGCCUCACCUUGUCAAGCAACUCUUGGAUGGUAUUCGAGGCAUCCUUCAGCUUUUUCCUCAAACUUUCCUCUUCCUUGUCUCGUCGGUCCCUCUCCUCCGAAAAAAUAUCAAUAAGACUUUCUUGUUCCUUGUUUAAUUCCUCAAUUUUUUGUUGCGCCUCCUUUAACUGCAUCUCAAGUGAUUUACACUUUCCACACUGCAAAUCAUGCCUCGAUUCACCUUGAAACUUUGCUUCACUUUUCUCUAAUCUUUCUUUCAGCUUACGGUUCUCUUGCUUCAGUUGAUCAAUAACGCGUAAAUCUGAUUCUGAAAGGGCACGUUGACAAUGAUCAACAUCACCUACCUUUGAAUUGGAUAGUGUGACUGCUCGCUGGGAGGAAUCUUCAAAGUAUGAAGAUGACUGAUGCAGCCCCUCUUCUCUAGUAGGAUGAGCAAUACACACAUCAUCAUCAGAAACAUCUUCUAAAGAAGGUGAUGAUGGUUCAUGAGACCUCGUUUUUCGUCCAGAUUUGGUUGGUGUCUUCGUUUUGCCACUUCCUUUGCUUGAUACAUGUCCAUUCCCAUAGCCAAAGUCCCCAUUUCUGGUAAAGCUCUCUGAUCCUUUUCCUCCUUUUUGGUAUACAUGAGAAAAGAAUUUGCCAGAAUACGAAGAACCCUUGCCAUUACUGGCAGUAUGCUUAGAUUGAGAAGAUAUGUGUGAGUUGUCAGGAGAAGAUCCUUCUUCUGUACUCUCAUUUAUGAGUUUCUUAUUUCGCCGCGGAGCAUACCCAAUUUUGUGACAGUAAGUGCACCAGUAAGUCUUUUGCAUUUGUAAAAGCCGAGCCUCAAGUCUAGCAAGAACUGUUGUACGUUCGAAUCCCUGCUUAUCAUGAGCUGGUUCAACGAAAUUAGCUUCCAGUACGCCUAUAACUCCACGGCCAUCACUUCCAGCUGCAUUCCAAAGCCUCCAAAAUGGCUGAAAAACAACAGUGCUUAGUCAAAGGAUAACAAAAAUCAAUUUAAAAUUAUGUUCAGCAAACAUGAGCAACAUGAAAAUACGGAUGUGGGGGAGUUCCUGGUACCAAGAUAUAUGUUAUCAUGCAAUUUUACAGAGAUGUUAGCUAGGAAAAUACUUCCUCAUUACCAUGUUUCAAAGUACAUUAAACUUAACAAUGGGGAUUAUAACUUUCUCCCUUCCUAAUUCCCAUAAACACUCCACCCCAUUCAGCAUAACACAGGAACAGUUAAACUUUCUCUGAGACAAAUUUACAAAAUAUACACCAUUACCAUAUCCAUUAACCCAUAGCUUAACAAGACCAGUUUUGCAUUAAUCAUCUUUCUUAAAAAUACUCAGCAAUUUUGGAAGAGCAAGAAAAUAAACAAUCCAAAGAAAAAGAAAACAAAUUUAAAAAGAAGGAUGAGGCAAUCGUGAUGAUAUACUAGGAAAGAACACAAAAGAUAGUACUAACAAGUGCAUGCAUAUAUUUAUCACUUCAUCAAACAAACCUUAAUGAGUCUAUUUUUGUGAUAAACAUUGAAACCUUGAACAUCAACAUGAUAUUUUGCAUCCUUCACAAAGCCAACAGUCACGAUAGCUGCCAUAUUUGAGUCUUUUGGGACCCCAUCAGCACCAUGCUGGGGCCGAUACGUUAUCUCUUGAGACAGCAUCAUAUCAUUCACUAUAUUGUGGUGCUCAACAUCUUUUCCGCGAAGAAUGAUUCUAAAGCCAGGAGGAAUUCUCAGGUAGAGAAUUGAGGUGUAACUCCUUAAUGAGUGCCUAUAAGUCAGGAAGUGCCUGGAGUUUGGAAACUCUCUUGCCAUCUGUAUAUUCUUCUCAUCUCGAUUGACACCUCUAAGUUGGAUAUCAUGAGGAUCAGAGUCAAAAUCAAGCUCCAAUAAUCCUUGAUCAUCCUCCCAAAGAUUAUAUAUUAUUAUUCUUGUCCCAUGAUCUGACAUCAGAUUAAACUGACGAAGGAGGUCUGCCUCACUGGAAAAUGGGGACCAUUGAACUAAUGUUUCUGCAUUUCUGUUCCAAUCACCACUAGAGACUCGUGUCAUCUUGUUCCAUUCUCGCCCAUUUCUAUCAUAGUCAAGCAUGGGUACCACAAUAUCUUCUUUUCCUGUGCUCUUGAGGAAGGUGUAUGACAGUAACCCAAUGCUCUGCGUAGGACUUUUUCCAUCUUUCCCACGACAACGUGAGAAUACAAUAACAUCUGCUCCAAGCCUCAUGGUGCUAGUCUUAAAUCCAUUGCCAUACUGUCCAAUGGUGUUGGCCACUUUGCUUUUUGCAGAAUACCCCAAGGACAUGCAUUGUCGCAUUUUAUCAGGAUCCAUUCCACCACCAUUAUCUUCAAUCAAAAGCAUUCUGCUUCCAUCCUUCCUACCUUCAAGCAUGUCAAUGUUAACAUAUGUUGCUCCAUUGCAAACCUCAUCCAAUGAGUUGUCUAGAAGUUCUGCAAAUGCUCCAAGAGCCCACUUAUGACUGGUUGCAUUGGAAUGUAAAAAUUUAGGAUGAACCCUGACAUGAUCCAUCCCCUCUACAGAUUACAAACAAAGAUGAUAGUGUAAGAAAUGAAAUGCAAUACUUUAUCGAAUAGAAAUUAGAGACUAAAUAUUCUCAAAAGUACAUAAACACUAAGAUAAGCAUCAAUAAUUAAUGUAAUCUCAAAAACUUAAUACUUUGUAGAUUUAGUCUCAAGAAAAUUGAAAGCCACCAAAUUAAAAAUGUAAAUAUAAUUCCGCCACUUAUAUAUUGAGUCUAAUCCUGUACUGAUAUAAUGGGAAAUUUAGUCUGUUGACAGUGUAGUUCAUUGAGCAAGAGAUGCAAAGAUGGUGCCACUGAUCAAUAAAAAAAGAAGAAGCAGUUCCAUCACACAAGAAACAUCCAUCUCCACAUUAAAGGUAAAAUCCACCAUUUUCCCGAAGACAAAUCCCAAUCACCGCAAGGAGCACCCUCAUAGUCUCCAGCUUUCCAAAACUGUUUACAACUCUGACCAGUUAAACUCACAUUCCCAUUCCCCAAUGGCGCAGUCGGAGUUAAACUCACAUCCGCGGACUGCGAUGGCGCCAACGCCACCGAAGCCGGAGAAAGGGGAGCCAGAAACCCCACUGGCAACACCACCCCCAGCUCAUCGAGCUUCCUCUUCUUCUUGGAAAAGCCGUUGCCGCUCGAAGAAACCCUAGGUCUCGUCGAAACACCAGCGUUGCCAUUGUUCCCGUUAUCCGAGUCAGAGUCAGAAUCGCUACUGCUGCUGCUAGCGAGUUCGAUCAACACUGCAGGCCCUUUAGAAACGCUGUCGUUCCCUCGAUUCGGUUCGGGGGUACGCAAGGAGUCGAUGAUCUCUUUCUUUACGGAAAAUUCCAUGAAUUCUUUUUCCUUUCUUUUCUCUAAAGAAGAAACGUAAGAGUUACAUUCAAAUUGACCUGCCUUUGCAUGAGAGAUUCAGAUUCUUCCAAAAUACAGAUUAAUAUUUUUGCAAGACAACGGCAUUAUUUCAGGGAGCUGAUGCCGCCGUUGGAUUGCUGCACUUAUCUUGGGCUCCGUGCUGGGUCUCAAUUCAGAUUCGGCUUGGCGCUCGGAAGAUGUGUAUGCAAGGGAAAAUUUUAUCACUC
rnacentral:misc_RNA from 1 species